UACGUAGGGGGCAAGCGUUGUCCGGAUUUACUGGGCGUAAAGAGCGCGCAGGCGGUCGUUCAAGUCGCGUGUGAAAGCCCCCGGCUCAACUGGGGAGGGUCACGCGAUACUGAUCGACUCGAAGGCAGGAGAGGGUAGUGGAAUUCCCGGUGUAGUGGUGAAAUGCGCAGAUAUCAGGAGGAACACCAAUUGCGAAGGCAGCUCGCUGGGACGUUACUGACGCUGAGACGCGAAAGCGUGGGGAGCAAACAGG
rnacentral:rRNA from 1 species